rnacentral:rRNA from 1 species
AGAGUUUGAUCCUGGCUCAGGAUGAACGCUGGCGGCGUGCCUAACACAUGCAAGUCGAACGGAGUCGUUUUGGAAAAUCCUUCGGGAUUGGAAUUCUCGACUUAGUGGCGGACGGGUGAGUAACGCGUGAGCAACCUGCCCUUCAGAGGGGGAUAGCGUCUGGAAACGGACGGUAAUACCGCAUAACGUAUGAUGAUCGCAUGGUCGACAUACCAAAACUGAGGUGCUGAAGGAUGGGCUCGCGUUGGAUUAGAUAGUUGGUGGGGUAACGGCCUACCAAGUCGACGAUCCAUAGCCGGACUGAGAGGUUGAACGGCCACAUUGGGACUGAGACACGGCCCAGACUCCUACGGGAGGCAGCAGUGGGGAAUAUUGCACAAUGGGGGAAACCCUGAUGCAGCAACGCCGCGUGAAGGAAGACGGUUUUCGGAUUGUAAACUUCUGUUCUUAGUGAAGAUAGUGACGGUAGCUAAGGAGCAAGCCACGGCUAACUACGUGCCAGCAGCCGCGGUAAUACGUAGGUGGCAAGCGUUGUCCGGAAUUACUGGGUGUAAAGGGAGCGCAGGCGGGGAGCCAAGUCAGCUGUGAAAACUACGGGCUUAACCUGUAGACUGCAGUUGAAACUGGUUUUCUUGAGUGAAGUAGAGGUUGGCGGAAUUCCGAGUGUAGCGGUGAAAUGCGUAGAUAUUCGGAGGAACACCGGUGGCGAAGGCGGCCAACUGGGCUUUAACUGACGCUGAGGCUCGAAAGUGUGGGGAGCAAACAGGAUUAGAUACCCUGGUAGUCCACACUGUAAACGAUGAUUGCUAGGUGUGGGGGGUCUGACCCCUUCCGUGCCGCAGUUAACACAAUAAGUAAUCCACCUGGGGAGUACGACCGCAAGGUUGAAACUCAAAGGAAUUGACGGGGGCCCGCACAAGCAGUGGAGUAUGUGGUUUAAUUCGACGCAACGCGAAGAACCUUACCAAGUCUUGACAUCCCUUGACAGGCAUAGAAAUAUGUUUUCUCUUCGGAGCAAGGAGACAGGUGGUGCAUGGUUGUCGUCAGCCCGUGUCGUGAGAUGUUGGGUUAAGUCCCGCAACGAGCGCAACCCUUAUGGUCAGUUACUACGCAAGAGGACUCUGGCCAGACUGCCGUUGACAAAACGGAGGAAGGUGGGGAUGACGUCAAAUCAUCAUGCCCUUUAUGACUUGGGCUACACACGUACUACAAUGGCGUUAAACAAAGAGAAGCAAGACCGCGAGGUGGAGCAAAACUCAGAAACAACGUCCCAGUUCGGACUGCAGGCUGCAACUCGCCUGCACGAAGUCGGAAUUGCUAGUAAUCGUGGAUCAGCAUGCCACGGUGAAUACGUUCCCGGGCCUUGCACACACCGCCCGUCA